AAAUGUAAAUAGUGAGUUAGCUCAGAGUAGAUGAGCCAAACAUCCCACAGCAAUGCCCCCGCUCACACACACCUGACAUGACAGUGCAUUAUUAUGACAGCUGGUGUAAACUGCACAGACAUUGGGUCAGACAAGCAGGUAUUUCUGUGUCAUCCAAACUAAAGCCAGCUAACCAGCUAACGUUAGCCAGCUGCUACUUAGCUUCACCACAGAUUCACUUCAGUUUUACAAACGGACCACCAUCAAAACAAGUGUUUUUAAGUCAUACACCACUUAAAUAAGGAGGCCUUGUCUGUCGCUGUUAUUUCAGCCAAAUCUUUCUCAUCUCAUCUUGCUGGCUUCACAGCCAGUUACUUACAUUGGAGUCAAGCAGAUCAAUGCUGUCCAGGCUCUUGCUCCUGUGAAUGCGGCCCUUGAUGCGGCGGAGUGAUGGCUUGCCCUGAAUGGUGCUCACUGAGGAGGCUGCUGUGAUGGAG